rnacentral:tRNA from 1 species
GGGAGUACGCCACAGUUGGAGAGGUGGGGCAGACUGUAAAUCUGUUGCCUUCGGGCUGAGUAGGUUCGAAUCCUACUACUCCCA